GGCUCAGUUUUCGAGAUAUUUUACUGUCCAAGUUAAAAUAGGACACCCUGUAUAUUAAAUAUUGUUCAAGUGGUGAAUGUUCAUGAUAGACGCGCGACGUGGAUAAGAAGUGUUCGUCGGAGAAAUUCGUCACUCGCACGAUUAAAUUUCGAAACUUCGAAGCUUCGAAGAUUUCGAAGUUAACUUUGAACUUCGAAGCUUUGAAUCUUCGAAUAUCGAAGCCUUCGAAGGAAAUCACCAGCCCUAGUCGGAGGUGCAAGUUUAUCGUGAAAAAAUCAGUGAUAAAAGCCCAAACCAAUAAGCCUGAUCUAAGCACGGCAACUCAAGCAGGACACCCGAUGCUAUCCAAAAAGCCAAAGGCGAUGGACCAAGUCAAGCAGUGGUGUGGCUCGAUGAAAGACCAGGAUAAUGAACGAUUAGGUAUUGCUGCUGCUGCUGCACUGCUGCUGCUGGCGUGGCUGCCUCCUACCCAUACUUAAAUAAUUUGUGCAAUCGAAAAGCUUGCAGUAUAUGAAAAUGAAACAGGAAUGGCGUAAUAAUGUUUAUUUAGCGAGACCAAACAUUCAAGAUCCGGGAUUAUACACGGCCAGAGAUCUGGAGAAGCAUACGAUGGUGAUCAAAUAAGUUGGAGAAAUUAUUAGGUUGGCGGAAACAAUAUGAGGCUCCAAUUCACGGUAUAUAUGUGCGUUCUGAUUUAAUAAGGAGCGAGUGGUUAAUACGACUUUAUGUGGCAGACUCGCUCGCUACAUCACCCAUUCUUGUAAUCUUAAUUGUACCACUAAGACGAUGAAGUUGAGCGCGAUCUCAGGAUUAUAACUUUUACUCAAUGUGUUCAUCGUCAAAGACAUAAUGUUCUCCCCCAAAAUUAACAGAAAAUCUGUUUGUAAGUGCAUAUAACUCAAUGUAAAUAUUUCAAAGAGAAGUAAUUAUAAACUUACAUCUCUUUGUCUGCGAAAAUUUGGCUAAUUGAAUUCUUUCAAUUAACUCCUUUUUCUACAAAAAUAAUUUCUGACGAGUCAUUUUAUUAAUAGACUCCUCACACGUUCUGUCCUUAACCGACAUAUUUCUAUUUCGCGUUUGUAAUUUUGAUAUCCGCUAAUUCAAUUUCCUUUUGUCUUACGUAUGAAUUGUCAACUUUUAUUGUUUUUGCAGAAUUUGGAGACUCUUUGCAACAGACGAAAGGAAAAGGAAAUAGAUCUUAUUUGCAAGAUCUGUUUCCUUUUUCUUUCGCGUACUGGAAAAUAAAAUUGUAAUUUGUGUUUGAAAAUGUUUAUAAGUACUUAACUCAAUGUAAAUUUUAAAAAAGAAGUAAUUAUAGACUUA